AAAUCUGCGAGGCUACGAACAGAAACAUCCUACAAGGCCGGAUCAGCGGGCGAGCAAGCACAACAUUGCGAAGCCCAAUGCCUAUCGGUUGAUCAGGUAAAGGAUGAGCUUGUGCAGAGGAA
rfam:Pirellula sp. SH-Sr6A, complete genome.